CCUACGGGAGGCAGCAGUGGGGAAUAUUGCGCAAUGGGCGAAAGCCUGACGCAGCGACGCCGCGUGAGGGAUGAAGGUCUUCGGAUCGUAAACCUCUGUCAGCAGGGAAGAAAGGUCACUGUGCUAAUCAGCAGUGAAUUGACGGUACCUGAAGAAGAAGCCCCGGCUAACUACGUGCCAGCAGCCGCGGUAAUACGUAGGGGGCAAGCGUUAUCCGGCUUUACUGGGUGUAAAGGGGGCGCAGACGGCGAUGCAAGCCAGGAGUGAAAGCCCGGGGCCCAACCCCGGGACUGCCCUUGGGACUGCGUGGCUGGAGUGCAGGAGGGGCAGGCGGAAUUCCUGGUGUAGCGGUGAAAUGCGUAGAUAUCAGGAGGAACACCGGUGGCGAAGGCGGCCUGCUGGACUGCAACUGACGUUGAGGCCCGAAAGCGUGGGGAGCAAACAGGAUUAGAUACCCUUGUAGUC
rnacentral:rRNA from 1 species